AAGCAGCCCUUUCUCAACAUGAAGGUUCUUUACCUUGCUGUGGUUGUCAUGCUGUUGGUUGUUGCUGUCAUGGCUGAUCCAGCAUGCAAAGGACAAAGGUCUUGCCAUUAUUUGGGAGGCACCUGUCAGAAAAGCUGCGGCAAACACCAUAUCGCCGACUUUUCCUGUGACUGCAACGCACGUGGAUUGUACUGCUGCAGGCCUCACAAGAAAGGCUAAAGAAGAGGAUGGCUGAUCCUUCGAGAUGGGGCAAGAGGAGCUCCUUCCAGUUCCUGACUGUUUAGGAGACAUCAUCAUGUCUGCUCCUCUUCAAUAAAGCCACAUCAAUAUCUUGA